GGCAGGAUCAACCAGGUAGCAUUCCUWUUCGACAUCAGCAACGCAUGAGCAAAUCCGAAAGGAUUCAUUCAAAACGCGCAUGAUAGUCGCUCGCACGAAGCGCGGGACGCUCGAUUUGGGGAAAACAAGAUCAAUGACCUUGCACCCGCUCAAUGUUCCGUACCCAAGAGACCACUCACAACAUCAUGUCCCAACAUCGCAAGCACACGCGAGUGGCAAGAAAUGUGGAGCACGAAAUGUGGAGCACUAAGUCCACUCAACGCUGCAUCUCGAAAGACUGCAGCGCCGACUGGAUAACCGAUUAUUCCAACGAAUGCCUUCAGCAUAGGAACCCAACGCAGAAAACCAAAUACGGGCAAUGUUACUUAAUCCGACAACUGAAGUGGGAUGCAAACAACAUUGUCGCUGCUCGAGCAGGGAUCCAACAUUGUCGUACAAACCAAUCACCACUCA
rnacentral:misc_RNA from 1 species